rnacentral:rRNA from 1 species
UACGAAGGUGGCAAGCGUUGUUCGGAUUCACUGGGCGUACAGGGAGCGUAGGCGGUUGGGUAAGCCCUCCGUGAAAUCUCCGGGCCCAACCCGGAAAGUGCAGAGGGGACUGCUCGGCUAGAGGACGGGAGAGGAGCGCGGAAUUCCCGGUGUAGCGGUGAAAUGCGUAGAGAUCGGGAGGAAGGCCGGUGGCGAAGGCGGCGCUCUGGAACGUUUCCGACGCUGAGGCUCGAAAGCGUCGGGAGCAAACAGG